rnacentral:rRNA from 1 species
UUGAACGCUGGCGGAAUGCUUUACACAUGCAAGUCGAGCGGCAGCGCGGGGCAACCUGGCGGCGAGCGGCGAACGGGUGAGUAAUAUAUCGGAACGUACCCUGUCGUGGGGGAUAACACAUCGAAAGAUGUGCUAAUACCGCAUACGCCCUGAGGGGGAAAGCGGGGGACCUCCCGGCCUCGCGCGAUUGGAGCGGCUGAUGUCGGAUUAGCUGGUUGGUGGGGUAAAGGCCUACCAAGGCGACGAUCCGUAGCGGGUCUGAGAGGAUGAUCAGCCACACUGGGACUGAGACACGGCCCAGACUCCUACGGGAGGCAGCAGUGGGGAAUUUUGGACAAUGGGCGAAAGCCUGAUCCAGCCAUGCCGCGUGAGUGAAGAAGGCCUUCGGGUUGUAAAGCUCUUUCAGCCGGAAAGAAAUCGCGCAGGCUAAUACUCUGCGUGGAUGACGGUACCGGAAGAAGAAGCACCGGCUAACUACGU